GAUGAACGCUGGCGGCGUGCCUAAUACAUGCAAGUCGAGCGAACAGACGAGGAGCUUGCUCCUCUGACGUUAGCGGCGGACGGGUGAGUAACACGUGGAUAACCUACCUAUAAGACUGGGAUAACUUCGGGAAACCGGAGCUAAUACCGGAUAAUAUAUUGAACCGCAUGGUUCAAUAGUGAAAGACGGUUUUGCUGUCACUUAUAGAUGGUUCCGCGCCGCAUUAGCUAGUUGGUAAGGUAACGGCUUACCAAGGCGACGAUGCGUAGCCGACCUGAGAGGGUGAUCGGCCACACUGGAACUGAGACACGGUCCAGACUCCUACGGGAGGAAGCAGUGGGGAAUAUUAGACAAUGGGCGAAAGCCUGACGGAGCAAUACCGCGUGAGUGAAGAAGGUCUUCGGAUCGUAAAGCUCUGUUAUUAGGAAAGAAAAGAAGCGGAAGUAACUCUGGCUGUCUUGACGGUACCUAAACAAAAAGCAACGGCUAACUACGUG
rnacentral:rRNA from 1 species